rnacentral:rRNA from 1 species
AUUGAACGCUGGCGGCAGGCCUAACACAUGCAAGUCGAGCGGAUGAGGGUAGCUUGCUACCUGAUUCAGCGGCGGACGGGUGAGUAAUGCCUAGGAAUCUGCCCGAUAGUGGGGGACAACGUUUCGAAAGGAACGCUAAUACCGCAGACGUCCUACGGGCGAAAGAGGGGGAUCUUCGCACCUCACGCAAUCGGAUGAGCCUAGGUCGGAUUAGCUAGUGGGUGAGGUAAUGGCUCACCAAGGCUACGAUCCGUAACUGGUCUGAGAGGAUGAUCAGUCACACUGGAACUGAGACACGGUCCAGACUCCUACGGGAGGCAGCAGUGGGGAAUAUUGGACAAUGGGCGAAAGCCUGAUCCAGCCAUGCCGCGUGUGUGAAGAAGGUCUUCGGAUUGUAAAGCACUUUAAGUUGGGAGGAAGGGCUGUAGGCUAAUAUCCUGCAGUUUUGACGUUACCAACAGAAUAAGCACCGGCUAACUUCGUGCCAGCCGCCGCGGUAA